GCUCAGUUGGUAAAGCACAAGGCUCUUAACCUUGUGGACGUGGAUUCAAGUCCCAC
rfam:Triticum aestivum genome assembly, contig: Triticum_aestivum_CS42_TGACv1_scaffold_501810_6BL